CAAUGUAAGUUUUUAAAAAUGAAAUGUCCCCAGAGACACUUAAGGGACCUCACAUUUUUUUCUAAACAUACAUAUUUUCUUGAUCACCAUGAAAACAGAGUAUAAAACCUACACCCUCCUAAGUCAACAUCUUUGGCUCUGGGAGAAAGAAAAGCAGAGCCUCUCUCCCUAGCUCUGUGUGUCCAUCACCUCCUACCUUAGCUGGAAUCUAGACAAGUCUGUGCUUGGGUAUGUGUGGGAGGGUGGAGAUGGGUGAU
rnacentral:lncRNA from 1 species